GGGUUGGUAUCCAAGUCUGGUUGAAGGAAGCCGUCUGUAAAACGGAUGCCUCUGUGCCACAUAGGUAUGUCCUUCGGACACGCUGAGCCGCACGCUCCGCGUGAACGCUAACAAAUCCUACCCAGCCCA
rnacentral:tRNA from 1 species